ACUCGUCAUGAUAAUUAAGGCUAGUGUUGUAUUAAAUGAAUUUAUUUAAAUAUGUUGGGGUUAGUUAGUUUUAAUUUUCCUUGAUCUCAUCGUUGUUGUUGAUGUUGUUGGGGUUUAAAUGUUUAAUAGAUAUCUCGAUGUUCAUCUCCUUAAUAAAUUUCUCUCUCUUCUCUCUUACAAUAUAAUUCCUAUCCAUACUUUAAUUAAGCUUUAAAGACACCUCCCUUUCUUUUUUAUUUUUCAUCUCUCUCUCUCUUUUAUACAGUAUGUAUAUUCAACCCCUCUAUAUAAUGAGCUUCACAUGAACUAACUAUUCCCAACCCCUCUCCUCUCUCCCCUUCUCUUCCUUUUUUUUCUUUUAUUUUUAUUUAUUAUUUCUUCCUUCUCCUCUCUUCAUUUCUUUCAAUUCGGCUAUAUAUCCAAGCAGCUGUGCUCUUAAUUCAGUAGCGUGAGAAAAAUGAGCAGAAGAAAUCGAAGGGGUAACAGCAACAAUCAGGACCUUGAUUUGAAGCUGAAUUUGUCACCGCCACCGGCGAGGGUGGCUGGUGGGGGAGCAGGAGGAGCAGGAGCAGCUGUAGAUAUAAGACGACACAGGAUGUCAACAUCAUCAUCAGAUGAUUCGCCACCAAGAUCAUGUGUCUCAUCUGAAGAAAGCCUCAAAUACGCCAGCAGCCCUGAAACUACUUCCAUGGUCUUGGUUGGUUGUCCAAGGUGUCUUAUGUAUGUCAUGUUGUCUGAAGCUGAUCCUCGCUGCCCCAAGUGCAAGAGCACCGUCCUCCUCGACUUUCUUCGCAACAACAACAACGACGACAACAACAAUAACAACAACAACAUCCGCAACCGCGGCCACAACUAAUCAUUGUUAUUAGGGAGCCAAGUUGUAUGGAAUUUAAAUUCUCUCCCUUUCGUCUCUCUAAAAUAUGAUAUAAAUAUAAAGAUAUAAAUACAUAAGGAAAAAGAAACAAGCGGCAGCUAGCUGUUGGUGGUAGUUAGCUAGAAACCUUAAUUAAGUAGCUAAUUAAGCUAGAAUCAUGAGAGAUAUGCAUGCUUUAAAUUAAAUUGUGUUAUUAAGUAAGUUAGGUGUAAGUUAAUUAGCUCUCUCUGUUAAGCUAGUAUGUAAGGAUUAAAAUGUCCUGUUUGGUUGCCCAUAAGACGGGAAUUAUGCUGGCUUCGCUCAUUAGCCCGCCGCGAACAUGAUUACAUUCUUAAUCAUUUCCCCGUCUUCUCUGCAACCAAAUGGAAUUUUAAUUUUUAAUUUUAAUUACUAUUAUUACUAUUACUAUUACUA